rnacentral:rRNA from 1 species
AUUGAACGCUGGCGGCAUGCCUUACACAUGCAAGUCGAACGGUAAUGCGGGGGCAACCCUGGCGACGAGUGGCGAACGGGUGAGUAAUACAUCGGAACGUACCUGGUAGUGGGGGAUAGCCCGGCGAAAGCCGGAUUAAUACCGCAUACGCACCACGGUGGAAAGCGGGGGACCGCAAGGCCUCGCGCUAUCAGAGCGGCCGAUGGCAGAUUGGCUAGUUGGUGGGGUAAAAGCCUACCAAGGCGACGAUCUGUAGCUGGUCUGAGAGGACGACCAGCCACACUGGGACUGAGACACGGCCCAGACUCCUACGGGAGGCAGCAGUGGGGAAUUUUGGACAAUGGGGGAAACCCUGAUCCAGCGAUGCCGCGUGUGUGAAGAAGGCCUUCGGGUUGUAAAGCACUUUUGUUCGGGAAGAAAUCUGUCGGGCUAAUACCCUGGCGGGAUGACGGUACCGGAAGAAUAAGCACCGGCUAACUACGUGCCAGCCGCCGCCGUAA